UACGUAGGGUGCGAGCGUUGUCCGGAAUUACUGGGCGUAAAGAGCUCGUAGGUGGUUUAUCGCGUUGUUCGUGAAAACUCACAACUCAAUUGUGGGCGUGCGGGCGAUACGGGCAGACUGGAGUACUGCAGGGGAGACUGGAAUUCCUGGUGUAGCGGUGGAAUGCGCAGAUAUCAGGAGGAACACCGGUGGCGAAGGCGGGUCUCUGGGCAGUAACUGACGCUGAGGAGCGAAAGCGUGGGGAGCGAACAGG
rnacentral:rRNA from 1 species